CGGGUCGGCCGCCUGGGAGAUCGACGCCGUGGUCACCGGCGACAAGGCGGAGGCCGUCGACUGGCGUGCGAUCGAUCCGCGCCGGCCCGGC
rnacentral:tRNA from 1 species